GAUAAGAAUACUCAAAUAUUUCUUUUUCUUAUUGUACUCUGAUUUGCAUGUCAAAUUAUUGCAAAAAUAUGAAUCAUAUAACUCAAGGCAAUAAUGUUAGAAAAAGAUUAAUGAGCAUAGACCAGAGCCAAUUAAGAUAAUUUCAGAGGAGAACACAUUGAAUGUGAUUCCAAAGAUAGUUUUCAAAUCAAGUGUAGGUGGAAUCUUUCUUAAGUUAAUUCAAGAAGUACCACAAAUGAUAUUCAAGGAAAGCACGAAUGGAAAUCUAACCUCUCUUCAAUAAUAAGUAUGAA
rnacentral:lncRNA from 1 species